GGACGACUAGAUUCUGUUUCCAAACUUGUUUUUGUAAAAAUAGAAAAUAACAACUUAUUAUGUGUUGUUCUAAUAAAAACUAUUGUUUUUGAUAUGCAUAUUUAAUUUUUAAAAUUACAGUCAUUCUUUGCUAAAAUGUGUACCAGGAAUACUGAAAUCUUUCAGAUCAGCUACCAAUUCCUUUAUAACUUAUGUAGCCAAGUGUUCUAUCAAUUUCUGUUCAGAUUAAACAAAUGAUGGAUAAAAUAUUAGUUUAGAUUCUUUCAAAAAAAAUGAGCUUGCCUAUUUUGAAAGCAUAAAAAGCAAUAAAAUAAAGCAAAAGUACUUAUUUUUAAUUUAAAACCUUUGGACUGCAUAGCUUAAUGUUUUCCAC